rnacentral:lncRNA from 1 species
AUAUUUGGAUUGAAUGUUAAUGAGAAUAUUAUAUAAAAAGUUCUUUUUAUCUUAUCUACAAAGGAGUUUGUACAUAAGUAAAAUGAAAUAGUGACAUCCUUAAAAGUAAAUAUAUUUUAAAUACAGAGGUUAGUUACAGGUUAUCCUCUAUGGUCUUUUGAGAUAGCAACAUUUUUUUUUCUGUUAGUUUUGUAUCACUAGAGCCAGAACAUUUAUAGGGUGAAUUUUAAAAAUAGUUAUUCUUUUUGGUGGCGCUGUGGAAUUGAAAUAGCCUCCUUUUAUGGAUGUUUCUAGCCAAUGUUAAAAAUAGAUGAUCUAUGGGACUUCCUUGUUACAUCUAUGUUCUAUUCACUUUUAAUAUGAAUUCUAAAUAUUUACAGUGUUCUUGAGCUAAGACCAUUGAUGGGAUGUGCAGUUUUGAGUACUGAAUAGUGUGAAAAAUCAUCCGUUUUGCUUUUAGAUUAAUGUAGGUUAUCUUGUUGUGUUGCCAUAGUUCUGCCAUUAUGGUAAAGGAGCUGUAUUCGAUUUUGCGUUUUAUCUAUAGAAAUAAACUAAAAAGUAUAAAGAUGUGUCUGUUAAAGCAUAUUCUUAAAUUUCCCCAUUGCUUUUUCCUUUUCAGGGGCCUCAAGGACCCCAGGGUCCAGUUGGAUUCCCUGGACCAAAAGGUCCUCCUGGACCACCUGGGAAGGAUGGCCUGCCGGGACACCCUGGGCAACGUGGGGAGACUGGAUUUCAAGGCAAGACUGGCCCUCCUGGUCCAGGAGGUGUUGUUGGACCACAGGUACAUUCCAUUACAUUAUUUCCCUAACAAGAUUUAUUGUUUACUGUUUAUGUUUUCACCUUUCCUUAGUUGUGUCAAAUUUGCUUAUUUUAUUAUUAUUGAAAAUGAUGUAUUUUUAUACUUCAGAUAGCAUUUAAAUAUAUGCAACUUGCCUACAUCAAAUGAACUCUAGCAAAUCAUUAACUAAAGCAAUUUUUCAAUUGCCUAAAUGAAUAAAAGAAAAGAAUAAAAUAAGCAAUGAAAAUAAGUCAGAAUGCUUACAACAAAGUUAACACAAAAGCCUGAUCAUGGCAUCACCCGCUAAAAACACCAGAAUACUUUUUAAAUAGAUUGGCCGUCAUGGUUUUCGGGGAUUUCAAAUUUUAAAAGAUGACUUCAGUGUUGAGUAUAAGUUAGAUUUAGAGGAGGGGACAGAGAAGAUGGCGGAGUAGAAAGACGCUCGCAGGUCACCCUCUCCCACAAAUACACCAAGACCCACAUCUACAGACCCACUCAGCCAACCAGAGCACCUGUGGAACUCCGACAGAACAUCGCCCUCUUCAAAAGAUAAAGACGCCAAAAAUCUGGUAGGAGAAAAGGAAAAAAGAAAGAACAAAAGGCAAAGCAGCGUGGGACGG